UACGGGGGGGGCGAAGCGUUAUCCGGAAUUAUUGGGCGUAAAGAGCUCGUAGGCGGUUUGUCGCGUCUGCCGUGAAAGUCCGGGGCUCAACUCCGGAUCUGCGGUGGGUACGGGCAGACUAGAGUGAUGUAGGGGGAGACUGGAAUUCCUGGUGUAGCGGUGAAAUGCGCAGAUAUCAGGAGGAACACCGAUGGCGAAGGCAGGUCUCUGGGCAUUAACUGACGCUGAGGAGCGAAAGCAUGGGGAGCGAACAGG
rnacentral:rRNA from 1 species